rnacentral:lncRNA from 1 species
CAGAAUCUUGCUCUGUCACCCAGGCUAGAGUGCAGCGGCAUGAUCUUGGCUCACUGCAACCUCCGCCUCCUGGGUUCAAGCGAUUCUUCUGCCUCAGUCUCCCAAGUAGCUGGGACUACAGGCGCGUGCCACUGUGCCUGGCUAACUUUUGUAUUUGUAGUAGAGACAGGGUUUCACCAUGUUAGCCAGGCUGGUCUUGAACUCCUGACCUUGUGAUCCACCCUCCUCAGCCUCCCAAAGUGCUGGGAUUACAGAUAUGAGCCACCUUGGCCGGCCAUUGUUCCUUUUUAUUUAUUUUGCCCUGAAAGCAGAUGAUGGUGUUAAAUAAAGCAACAAAUUAAAUGUGGAUGUUAGUGCUGCAAUGGAGGAAAACUUGCAGAAAAAUUGACCUGACUUAUUUAAUCAAGUGCAGAGACAUUACUGUGCUACCUGGGGAGCUAUUCAAAUACAAUACAAUCUAUAUGCCUUCCACCUGAGCAACCAAGUUCUUACAGCGCUAACUAGAGAAGGUGCAGGGGAGGGGGGGAGGACUGGAUAAAGUUAUUUUUGUGGCAGUUAAGCUUCGAUUACUUGUAGAUCCAUAAAUCAUCAGCCAAGGUUCUCUUUUCUCCAGCAGUGAGCACAGGGAGGAGGAGGUGCAUGCAAGCGAUACUGCAGGGCCAGAAUCAGAAUCAUCAGCACGUAGCAACUGAUUGGAUUUCUGGAGCAAGAAAGAAGAGUUGAAGAUAAUGUUGAACUUUCUCAUUGGGAGAUUUUACUAACAUUAUUGAGCAAUUACUGCAUGAUGGAUGUUACGCUAAGAGCAUUCUACAAUUAUUAUACCUCUUACGUCUCCCAGUAGUUCUGUUAAGCACUGAAUACUGUGGAUACAAAGAGCCCAGAGUCAUCAAGAGGAACCAGGAACUCUAACAUGAUGUGUGGAGCAGGCUAUGCAAAGAGGGGUACCUCUCCCAGUCAGAGGCAUCAGAGAAGGCUUCCUGGUGGAGAACGUGUGUGAUGGACUUAUGGACUCAUUCACUGCAUCGAUCUUGGGCACUGCCCAGCUUCAUGUUCCACUCUCCCGUUUAUCCCAAAUUGCUGAGGAUUUCCUAAGAACCAUCACUUUCCAGAGCUCAUUAUUUUCUGUUAUUUGCCUCAGCAGCACAAGCUGUUUUCACAAAGAAAUAAAGGGUCUUCUAUUCCAGAAGAGUUCUUCUAUGCAUGUAGGUGAGCAGACAGUGCAGAGCCAUGCUGAGGUGUGUGUGCCUUGCUGUCACUGUCUCUCCUCCGGGAGGAACACUAGGCUCCUGUACACCAGGCUUCCCACAGCCCAGGAGGAACACAUCCACGCCUUGCCAGUCAUUUGCAUCUUAGUAAGACUAAAACUAAUAAAACUAACAAUAAAACUUAAAAUAGAUUGAAGGAUUACAGUAUGCCAAGCAUAUAUGUAUUGUGUUAUUUGGCCCUCACAGUCACCUUUUGAGCUAGGCACCAGUACCAGCUUUAAGAGCUCAGGAAGCUGAGGUGUCAAGAUUUUAAGUCAUUUGCUCAAGGUCACACAGCUAGGAAGUGUAGUGGGAGAGUCAGUCCCCCAUUUGUCCAAUGCAGUGCUGUCGCCCAAGUGUGAAGAGGGAUGUGCGGGUCUGAGAACAAAGUUAGCCUGCUUAGUACUUUGUCCAAGGUCAGCCCUGGCUCCAAGCCCAAGAAACAAGGCAGGAUCAGCAGCCACAAAGUCCAACAGUCAGCCAGGCUCCCAUACUGCAGGGGUCUCUAUCACAGCCCAGCUCUGGAUAUGGGCAAAUGAAAGCUAGCAGCAGAGUACCCAGGCUACCUCUGCACAGGGAGUGACUGCGGAACUUCAAGAACAAAAGAGAGGCAAAAGAUGUGGGGUGGCCUGUCUGGGAGGGACUAGGGAACAGGGACACCUUGCAGAUAACUCUCAGGACUGAGGAGUAAAUAUCUUUUAUUAAACAAAGCUUAUAAUUCUGACUCUAAGCCUGGCGUUCCUAACAAUGGCAGGGACUGAUGGCUGUGAAAGGCACUAAUCAGACACAGUAGAUUCGUGUUUACACUGGGAAGGGCCGCUGAUCCCGCAUAGGCCUUUGAAGCCACCCGUGCUCACACAGAUUGUAAUGCACUAUGAAGUCAUGUCUUCAAAUAAAAGGGAGGAGUUGAAAUAGA